rnacentral:lncRNA from 1 species
UCUCUCUCUCUCUCUCUCUCUCUUUCUCGACAAUGCUAUCUGUAAAUUUUAUUAUAGAGCGUAAAUUUUAUUCUCCAUCAUUUAAAAAUUUAAUUUUUUUAAAAAAAUUAGUAAUAAAAAAAAUUAUGAGACAAAUGAGUAAAACUAGGCUAUGAAUAAUUUAGGAUGUACAAUUUAUACAUAUAUUGAGUCCGGCCUUUACGAGUAUGAUCACUUUCACACUUAUAAGUCAUUUUCGAUGAUAGAGUUUUUGAAUCGGUGAUUCAUAUUAUUAAAUAUGAUUUAGAAUAUUUAAAAUUUUUAGAAAUUAAAUAUUAUAAUUUUUCGAUAUUAUUUGCCUUACAAUCAAAAGAUUUUAAAAUUAAUCAUUUUUAACGGCUGACAUGUGAUACUUACUAAUUUAAUAGUGUAAAAGAAUCGAAAUUGGUUGAAUUUUUAAUACAAAAUUUUAUUCAGCAUCUAUAUAAAGAUCAAUAACUCUGAUCUUACAUUGAAGGAUUCGAUUAUUCAUUUUUAGGGCAUCUUUCAAUUUUGACUAUUUAUUUUAUGCAUGUUUGAUAGAUCUUAUUAUGAUUUUGAAAAAUUACAUUUUUUUUUUUUAGAAGUUUCAAACACUCAAUAUCAUAAUUAACAUAAUUGAUCGUUAAUUCAGAAGCUUCAUCAUCGAAAACAACUUAUGAGUACGAAAAGGUCUAUACAAAUAAGAGUAUAAUAGCGCACUAGCACUGCUCUACAUAUAUUAUAGAUUUAUACAUUGCAUUGUUUUUUUUUUUUUGUUGGAUGUUUUCAAGAUCCUUUCACUAAUAAAAUAAAACACUAACUUAAGAUCAUUACCCUUUUGUUGACAUGUGAAAGCUUAACAUUGAUUGAAGAUCACCCACACAUCACUUGAUCUUUUUAUUUAUUUUAAUAUGAAACAAAACUUGCGUGGAUUUGAUCAAAAUUGUCGGUUGCCCAGUUGUCCUAUUUUUUAAAAGUGAAAUACACAAUUAAGGGGAAAAAAAAAAUCAUUAUAGGGGUAGGUCUCACUACCAUAAAAAUAUGACAAAGAAGUGGUAAGAAUAUAAAAGUAUAACAAUUAUGAGAUGGGACUUAAACAAUUAUGGUAUUAGAUCACAGUCACAAACGUUUUGUUUCAAAAAAAAAAAAAAAAAAAAAAAAAAAAAAAGAGAAUGGUGAUCCACUCAACCAUAAAGCCAUUUUGAAAUGGCCCAAAACUUUUUAUAAUGUUAAUUCAUUUAGUGUUUAAUCUGUUGAAUUAAUUUUCUUAUUAUUCUUUAUUAAUAAUUAACAGCUAACUUAGUAACUAUUUUAUUAAUUCGCACGCUCUUAAAUCUCAGAUACUGUAAAACAUUUCUUAUGGUUUAAAAUUGAAACGAAAUCCAAGUUGUAUAGUAUAAAAUUGAAUAUUUUGUUCCUAGAUAUAAAAAUAUGUUCUUAUAAUAGUAAUUUAUUAGUUAGGUACAUAUCAAAAUCAUUCUAUAAACAAACUAAUUAAAGAUUUUUUUUUUUUAUUUUUUCCAAGAUACUUUGCAGUGUUACCUCCUUUCUCAUUCUCACAUUCAUUCUUUUUCUUUCUUUCCUUUUUUUUUUUUUUCCACCCCACCUUUUCCUGAGCUUUUUUGACCAUCCUCAGUGGCAACUCAGAUCUUAUUGAGAUUUGCAUGGGCAUGCAUUAUGUUCUCCCAAAAGUAAAUAGUGAAAAAAAAAAAAAAGGAUCAGGUAUUGUUCACAAGUACUGAGAAAUCAUAACUUUUCGAUAAAUAAGUGUUAUAAAAUGUCAUAACAUAACAUUUAAUUAACCGCCAAAUCUUCUUAUUCACAUUUUCGAUUGAGCUUAUUUCUAAAUAAAUGAACGAAUCAAAUAGUAUGCUAUUUUUUUCUAAAAAAAAAAAUUAUUUCAACUAUACUGAAAGUGUGAAACAAUUAAGAUGCACUAUCUGCCUAUCAUGUUUACUUGUCUGUCUUAAUACAUAUAAUUCUGCAGCUCAUCAGCAGCAUCUUGACAUGCACUAUUUAGAUUGACUUGUACAGAUAAACCCCUAUCACAGAUGAGCUAUGAGAUUAGUCGUGUGCUCAAAAAAUUUUGUACACGGAGUUGUAGACAAACUCCGCCCUGUUUCUCUUUGACCUGCUCUGAUGGAUCUUGUUGAGCUCGAGUGCACCAAAAGGGUCGUACAGUUUCCACUAAAUCCAACCUAGAUAUGACCUAACACGACCCACAAGUACGACUCUCUGGAGCAUGAUCUUGUAUUAUAUCUUAUUGAACUUGUGCUAGAAAAGCAGUUCACUUCUGAAAAAAACAAGUGGCCUAUAAUUUACGGUGCGAUGCACCACUAUUUUGAGCAGUGUGUUGAUAACUUUAUCACCAGACGAAAGAGAUUUCGAGCUUAUAUUUUACAGAAACAAGUGCAUGUUAAAACCGUAUAGUCUUUUUGAUUGAAAUACGAAGGUGCAUUGGCGAAUUUUAUAAGUUUGUAAGUGGGACGGUGCGAUUACCCUAGAGAAGCGAUUUUUUAAACAGAUAAAUGGAUGUAAAUCGAGGUAUUCUAUUUGACAGUUGUAUUUUCAACUACAUGCAAUUUUGGACGGCUACCUAGUCUCCGCCUUCAUCUUUAGGUUCAAUUGCCGUAUUUGUACUGCAAACUAAACAGAAUUUUUAGACUCUUGUUGACGCAAAAUUUUGGUCGUCGGAUUGUCUUAGCAGUUUAGUAUUUGGCAAGAAAUAAUCAUCACGGAGUUUUUAGGAUACGAUCAAAAUUUCUAGGAUUCAAAUUUCAAAUGAGAUUUAGCAUUUGCAGCAGUCACGGAGUUUUUAACAUCUCUGGCGAAGCAUUUGCAGCAGUGCAUUUUUGUUAAAAUAUAUCGUGAAGCCAAUAGGGCCGCUGAUUAUUUAGCAAGUCAUGCACUUAAUUCAAGAAGUAAACUGGCUUUUGAUCCUACAAGUGACCUUCCCAUAGACUUUGUUAGGAUACUUUUUGAAGACUUUGCAGGUAGAGUCUUUUUGCACAAAGUGUAAUCGGUUUUUGCUUUUAACAAAUUAGCCUGUUGGCUCUUUUGACCAAAAAAAAAAAAAAAAAAAAAAAUCAAAUGAGAUUCCGACUUAUCAGAAGAGUCGGAUUCUAAUUAGAGAAAGGAACUCCCCUUCAACAAAAAUAAUUAUAUAUCUAACAAUUCUCAAGCAAUUUAGGAGUAGUAGUAGCUUUUGUAUUCAAGUAAUAGUUUCGAUAGGUUUAGUUUCGGCAGUUUCCUAUAGUAAUAGUUUCAAUAGGUUUAGUAGUAGUAGUUUCUACAGUAAUAAUUUCGACAGUUGAUUCACAUUUCCAGCUAAGUUUAUUUCUAAAUGAAAUAAACGAAGCGGGUAGCGUGCUACCUAUCUCUCUUAAAAAAAAAAAAAAAAAUUCCGACAAUUUCUCUUCCAGGAAUUUCAGCUAUUUUGUAAGAUUAGGCCGAGAUUUCGAAUUUUUAGGGCAUUUCAACUUCAAAGAAGCGACGAUGGAAUCCAAAUCAUCCAAGUUCGACCUGUUUCAAGUGGUCAAAUAUACGUGCUCUGAGAAGGUCAAAUCCUAACGGAGAACCCGAGCCAAAAAACAUGCAUUCCCAACUCUCCAUCCAUUAUAGUCAUUUGCUUAUCUAUAUAUAUAUAUAUAUCUAUACCUAUACAUUAUUUCUUCUAAAUUUAUCACAUGAUAACAUUCUCUUUAUUGUUCAGUGUGGGCUCCAUCUAGAACCGGUUCAAAUUCUUUCUCUUUCUUUGCUUAAACUGAAUCGAUCGUUAUUGAGCAUGGGCGUUCCUCCGAACCUUCUCAAGUUUUUUCACAUAUUUUUCUCUUUCUUUAUUUGAACCAAAUCCGGUUUCUCUCUUUCUCUGCUUGAACCAAAUCAAGUCAACUUAUUGCAUUGGACCGAACCGACCCACCUGCUCCACAUGUUUUUAUCUUUGACCCGAAUUUUUCUCUUUUUUAUUUGAACCGAAUCGAUCACUAUCGAGUGUGAGCUCCACCCCGAACUGGCUGAAGUUUUCUUCUUUCUUUUCUUGAACCGAACCGGAUUUUCUUUUUCUUUUUCUUUUUUUUUUUGUACCGAGCCGAAUCACACUUCUAUAUUAGGCUGAACUAUUCUUAUUUCUCUUCCUUUAGCUGUUACUUUCGUUCAUCAGUAAGAUGACUCCCAUCCCUCAUCAUCGCUUCUUUUAUCGCCAUUUUCUCUUUUUUUAUCGUUAUUUUUUAUUUUUUCUCCAAUUAUCUACACGUCAUGGGUUAUUUAUUUAUUUAUUUAUUUGGCUCAAUAGCUUGCUUUUACAAAUUGCAAAUUAACAUAGGAAGAACUAAAUAGUCCCUUUUAGUUCAAACAAGCAUUAAUUGUAACAGUUAAUGGCUUACCCUACUUAGAUCCGAAUCCGACCCAUUAUCAUUUUUUUUUUUUUUUAACUUCACCAUUACACGAAAAGGGCCUUUUACUUACCUCCUACUCCCCAGACCCCAAGGAUCCAUUUUUUUUUAUUUUAAUUAUAAAUUCCUCGAGCCUAGGCGUUUCCUACUCAUUUAAUUUAACACAUUAAUAAAAAAAAAAAAAAAACACAACUAACACCACAAGAGAGACACAAGAAUCUUUGACCCAAAAAGGAGAGUGGGGGGUGGCAAGAUAUGAAUCUUUUUUUUUAUAUUUUUUAAAAUUUUUUUAAAUUUUUUUUUAACUCUUCAUUACAGAGCACGUAAAGUGUAAGUUAACGGCGUAUAUUUUAGCUUUGAACCAAAAAGGAUACAAAGCCACUAAAGUGUUUGAGAUGUGUUCUCUCUCAAUCAUUUCCUCCACCAAAGGUGGAGUUACAAACAGGAGCUAAUAAUGAAAAUUGAUAUUGCCCAAGUACUUGGUAGUAAACCUAACUAUGAUUUGAAUACUUUUACUGUGACAAUAAUAAAAAUUACUUUAAUAAUAUUAAGUUUUUAUUAAUAAUUGGGUCAGAAUCUGAUCAUAAGGGUGAGUGAACCAAAUGGGAUCUGAAAUUUUUAUCCAGAUUUUUUUAUUUUUUUUUUGGAAAAAGAGUAGUACGCUACCUGCUUCCUUCAUUUAAAAAAUAAAUUUAACUACAGAGGUUGAGGCAAUAUAACCUCCAAAAAUACAAAUGAAAGUAAAGAGAAAAAAAUCGUAGAGAAUUUGCUAAUUCUACUCCUCACUCAAGACUAAGUCACUAAGAGCUGCAAGACUCAGCUCAUUUCUGGCUCACUUUCCGGAUUCGUUUAAUUGUCAAAAAAGGGUCAAAUGAUUGAUUCCUAAAAAUUAUGUCAUUUCUUUCCCGCCAGAUCAUUUACCAACAUGUUGCGAUCGUGAUUAGAUCCCUCACUGUUGCCCAUCAGGGACGGUCCCCAACCAGAAGCUCCUAGACACCCCUGACCUCCAUCCCAGGUUUUGGGAUGAUGUUGAAUAUUAAAAAUCUGCUGAUUACGCAUCCAACAAGCAGAUGAUCAAUAAUCUCAACAUCGUUGCCGCACAUCACAUACUGUUGAUUCUCGGAUCGGCCUCUUUUGAGUAAGUUGUCAAACGUAGAUAGGCAUUUCUUAAGUACUAACCAAAUAAAAAUUCUAACUUUAGAUGGUAUUUUCAACUCCCAAACCUUCGGCGAAAGAAAAUCUCGUACUUCCCUAUCUCGGAUCAGUACAUAUAUAGACUGAACGGUAAAACACCUUCCAGCAAUUGGAUCACCAUGGUAACUUUGUGGUUAAGGUUGGAUUUAGAAUUUAGGUCGGAGAUAAUUAGAAAUAAGUUGGGGUUUUGGGCUGUGCUUGUAUAUGUUGCUAAAUACGUAUAGUGUAGUGUUGUUUAAUAAAAUAUUAUUUAAAAAAAUAUAAUUACGAGAAGCAGAGUAUAGAAUAUUAGGAUAACUCCUCUUACUGGUAAGAUAUGGUUCAGAUAUAAGCUUCUGUUUCAGAUUAUCCAAAUAUUAUUUUUGUUACCUUCCUGUUACAAAAGCUCCAGAAUUUUCGGAUUAUCAACCUGAAGUAGAAAUUGAAGCAGAACCAACGAGACUCUUAAAGGGCGUUUUGUUUCGCCUAAAUAAUACCAAAAAAAUAAUCUUCUGGCUGAAAAAAAAAUAUUUUCCGUUCGUUUAAUUCCUAGAGAAGUUAAUUAUUCUCAAAAUUUUCAAAAAAAAUAAAAACUAUGUAAAGAUACAUUUUUCAUAAAAAAGAAUCUUAAUUCUUGGAAAAUAAUUUUUCACGCUUUUAUGAGAAACCGAACGCCCCCUUACAUAAAAGAAAAAAAGGCAAGAUCAUUUCUUCAAGAAGGUGCUAACCUACACCUGACCAUUUACAUAAAUUAAUCAAACCAAAAUUGAAAGUGACUAUUUACAUAAAUUAAUUAAAACCAAUUCGAUCCCACUUGCGUGUUUAUAGGUCUGGGUAGAGACCCAACCACUAUCAUGAAUGAUUGAAGCCAAGGAGAAAAUGGAAGUACACUAGGAAAGAAAAAAAGGAGAAAGAAAAAGAUAGUGUGAUAGAGACAGGGUUUAUAUAUAUGAUAAUAUUUUAUAUAUAUAUAUAUAUAUAUAUGAUAUGAUCUACAUGAGCUUAAGUUUAAGUUAGCUUUGAGCUCUUACUGUGGUGUGAAAUAUCAUAGAAUUAUUUAAUUUCCUUUAUGAAGCCUCAUGAUGCUACUUUGAUGCCCCACAACCUGAAAAUAAAUGCAUAUAUGGAAGCAUAGUGAUCAGUGGAACAAUGAUGGAGGAAUAGUGAGGCUACAGAGCCUUGGAUUUGAAAUGGUGAGAAAAUUAUUGGUUAUAAUAAUAUAAAAGGAGUUGGGUAACUAGAAGUGCAUGAUUGAUUCUUAUGCAAAGGUAAUACACCAUGUCACUCACAGAAUAAAAAGAUAUGCUAAUAUAUAUUAGGGUUAAUUGCAUACAGGUCCCCGCAAACAUAGUGAAUUAUAAAUAUAUCCCUAUAAAGUUCAACUUUUAAUAAAUUAUCCCUACAAAAGUCCUAACGUUUUCAGAUAUGUCCCUUUGGUUUGUUACCGUUAGAGAAUCGUUAGAAAACUGUUUAUAUUUUCAAUUUUGCCAUCACAAAUACGUCCCUCCAAAAGUUAUAACAGUAUAACAUAAGAGGGGUAAAAAUAUCAAAAAUUAAUCCGGAUAAAGUAUUUAACCUAUGAUUAACUAAACUUUUCUCACGGAUUCUAACGGCUGGGAUAUAUAUAUGAAAACAUUAGAACUUUUACAGGAAUAACUUAUAAAAGUUGAACUUUAUAAAGAUAUAUCUGUAAUUUACUAUAUUUAUGGGGACCUAUAUGCAAUUGACCCUUGGGGCUUAUUUGGAUGCAUUUUGAAUAUUUCCUUCAACAUAUAUUUUUAGUUUAUUGAAACAAGGAUAUAUUACUUGGUUGAAGAAUCCCGCUGCUAUACUAUUAAAAGUAUGAAGCCCUUCGUGCUAUAAUAUUAUUUUCGAUGAUGGAACAUCCAACUCGGCGAUUAGUUCCGCUAAACUUGAUCUUCACUAUUAAAAAUAUUUAAAAAUCAAAUUUUCUAAUUUUUCGACAUUAUUUAUCUAUAGAAUGAAUAGACUCAAAAUAAACAAAAUAAAAAUACCCUAAAAAAUAAUGAUAAAAUAUUUAAAUUUCAGAUCAGAGUAUUCGUCUUGCUCUAAAUAGUAAAAUAAAAAAAUUCUGUCAAAAUUCACUGGAUUUAGAUUGUAUCGUACCAUCAAAAUUACCAAUACAUCACAUUGGCUAUUAAAAUUAUUAAUUUUGAAUCAAAUGAUGAUGAAAAAAAAAAAAAAAGAAUUCUAAAUACUUCCACUAUCAUAGGAUUGUCGAUUCAGAUAUCACAUCAUCAAAAAUAAUUUCAUAAAACGAUAACCUCCAUACUAUUAAUAGUCCUGUAGCCCAGUUUUUUGAAAAAUAUCUACAUCAGCAUAAUAUAUACAACAUCCCAAUCCUUUUUCUCCCUGUAUAAUUAAGCAAAGUUGGCUUGUGAGGGUUAAGGUCAAAAUCUCAACUUACAAUUAUGGUAAAAAGUCGAUACCACAAAUAUUAUCACUGAAUAACUUAUUUCAACAUCAAGCCAAGCCCUUGUAAGAUGUGGGUUUAAAAUAAGCCACAACAUCUUAGCAUAUGACCCUAGAUCAUUACCUAAUGGCAUAGAAAUUAGAAAACAACUCCACAAGCUACAAUGGUAAUAAAUAUUAGUGAGGCAUAAAGGCUACAGGGGGAGCUAGCAUCAUGUGCAACAUAGAUAAAAAUUCACAAGUACAAACAGUUCAUGAGAACAUUUGUAUGGUGUAGCUUAACCAAGAAUAUCUUAAAGAACCUUCAAACUACAGGAAGAAGUUAAAAAGUAGGCGCCCCAUGUCAUAUGAGAGCAAUUAGGGCACCUCGGCGACGACACUUAGCCGAUAACCUCAUUUGCUUUUGCCUUUAAAAAAAAAAAGGCUUGUGCAGGUGUAAAAAAGCAAAAAAGCAAGACUAAUGACAUUAGUUAUGUCUCCACUUUUAGAAGAACCUAAUCCUAACACACAAAGGACGGGAGAGCCUUUAAUUUAAGUCCCUAACAUGAUUACCACUGUAUGUGGAGACUAUGAUGAGCAUCAAGUACCAAGAGAAUGUCUUUGGCUAAAAAAAAGGCCAUUGUGUUUGUAUUAAUGCUCAUGCAUGCCUAAUUCCUCAUCAUUUGGCCUAAUGGGGCCAUUAACAAAUCCUUAUUAUGGGAAUUAUGGAAAGUUCAGUUAAGUGAUAUCUCUUUAUGAGCCCCCCUAUAAAGAUGGUGAGUAGGGUACACCUGCAAUACCAAAAUAUUGUUUAGUUUCUGUAUGUACAGUGAACUAAUAUAAGCAUCAGGAUUGGGAUUAUAUUUGCAUGUCUCAGUGAUACAGUGCUUAUUUUUAAGAAUACGAAUGCAUUUAGGAGUGUGACAUGGUGAAGACGCAAUAAUUAUGUUGCAGUGUGGAAGUAGAUUUAGGCCAAGGUAAGAAUCUCAACUAACACAGAAGCAAGAAUUAGCGUAGGACAUGCAGAUAGAACCAAGAGAAUAACAAUGAUGCAAAAGACAGAAUAAAAACUUGCACUAGGUAACUGAAAAAGGAGAACAUGAAAAACUGAGCAUAUAUGCUUUCUUCAGAUGAUCUGUAAAAACCCAAAACCAAUCUGUCAACAUAGUCAGAUCUAUAUUUCAAUGAGACGAGGAAAAAAACAUCCUCUCUAUUCAACCUUUCUACUAGAGAUUCUUAGAACUCAUAGAAUUUGCCAAAAUGACAACAAAAAGGUCAUAACAUGACAUAAUCUAGGAGAACAGUGGGAAGUCAUAAGAGUGAUUGCAGGUGAUAGAACUUGGACCAGAGAAAUCGUUUAGCUCCAUCUUGAUGCAUGCAAAUGACAAAUAUUGACUCUGGUCAGUACAUUCUUCAUCCUGAUACAUAGAAUCGAAUGGAAUUACAAUUUAUUAAUAUACUGGGCAUGCUCGGAUGAACUCUAUCUGCCGCGAAAUUACAAAAUAUUUCUCUUUGACAUAUAAGAGAAAAAAUGAAAAAUGAGACAAUAGGAACAUACGUAUUAGAGUACCUGCCAAAGGAUAAAUGAAGGCAACAGCUUGUUUCUAAUUUAGUUCGAUACGAAUUGGAUAUCCAAGGCUCUCACUCUUUAGCUUGUAAAAGAUAGCAUAUAAGGAAGAUAAACAUACAUGUAGCACGAUCUCCAUCCAGUGAUUCUCCAGGUGAAAGGAACAUAUGCCAAAAAAACACAUAUUAGUGACGCUUCAUUUCCCGAAAAAUAUUUGCCACGUUUGGAGACAACCUUGGAAGGAACUUGAAUAACUGCAAAAAGAAGACAAAAUAGUUAGCAUAGAUAAUCUAAAAAGGCAUUAACUAGUAUGCAACAUUGUGGGUUUCUCUGAUGGAGUAUUUGGAGACAAUCCUAAGAUUCAACAGUUUUACAUGAAGUGGUUACUUUUAAGACUUCAAAGGAAAAACAGGGACUAAAAUAUAGGAUGUUAAUAUUGAACAGCUAUUAGCCCAUAUACUCAUAUCUAGACAAACCACUAUGUAAACAAUGUCAAAAGUUACUCAUUAAGUAUCGUACUUUUAACUGAACGAAUGGGUAGUAAACUGGUCUGGUCGAAAUGCAUGUUCAGUUUAAUCAUGCUAAGUUUCAGUAAAGAAAGUAUCAUACACCUGAAACAGCACUUACCCAAAACUUCACACAAGCAUCAAUAACCACUGGAACUGAGCAGAUAAAAACGGUAAUCGCAGCUUGAUCAACCUCAAGCCCAUAUCUCUCAAGGAUAAUUUCUAUCAACACCUGCCAACCCGACUCAGAAUGGUACCUGCAUUUCCAGAGUCAAAUAAUAGAGAUUAUCAUAAAGAAAAUAAUAUAUUUGCAUAGUAACCGCUACAAAAUUCUUUACAAUAUACUGCAAUAUCUGAAUUUUCAUUUACACCCUUCGAAGAAUUAUAUUCGCAUAUACAUAUCCUCGAGCUUAUAAAAAUUCCCCUUAUAUUUCUUCAGUGCUGCUUUGCAUGUGGUCGGAUAAUCUGUAUAUUUCUCUAAUCAGAUAUUAUCUUCCAAUUGCCAUUUAUAACAGGAAAUCUUAGAUGAUGCCUGCAAAGAUUCAGAUAACAUACCCCAAAAAAAUGUCCGUAAUUAGAAUGAUAAGAAAUGCCUUUCCGGUGUCUGAAAUAUUAUUUAAUAGCUUAUACCCUGUAAACUUGAGCAAAGCAACCUGAAAAUAGAAAAGAAAGCAAAAGAAUAAAUGAGCUGGCUGAGGAUUCAAAUAUAACAUUAAUUGCAAGGACUACGAAGCGUUUUUCACUAUAUACUAUAAAGCUUAUACAAUGUAGAGACGAUACAAUCUUUACUAAGUUCAGAAAUCAGGUGCAAAAGCAUAAAUGUUGACCAAAUUACAGUUUCCUAUUAUCUGAUGAUCAAUUAUCAGCAUAUUUUUCUUUGGUAUUAAUACAUUAGAUAAUUGUUGAGAGGAUAGUAAUAGUCCAAUUGCUAACAGUAUCUUACUCUGCUAUAUUACCAAAAAGGAAUUUUUAACAUGCAAAUUCUGGGGGAAACAAGAGUAACUGUAAACAAAAAACAAAAAGAAAAAAGAAGGUUGGCAAGUAUUAGAUGGAAGUCUUACCUUGCUCUGAUUGAAAUAAAUAAGAAUAAACAGUGCAAUGCCAUACACCAUAUCGGACCAGAUAUUUGCAAAUGCUUUUCGGUUCUCCAAUCUCCAUUCAUCUCUCAACUCUAUCCUGAUAAAGAGGUAGAACAGAGCACAAGGUUAAGAACGAUCUAGAGAGGUAAAUCUAAUUAGGCAUGACAUAUCAACUUAAAUUCAAAAGAAAAAUGAUAGCAGCAAAGAGGGCAUGAAAUUUAUUAUACCAACCCAUAUCUAACAAACAUGUAUGAAAACAUAUAAAAUAGGUAACUAUUAAUAAUAGCGUUUUGAUAACAAUGUACAGAGACCCCUUUAUAGGUUAUUUUGAAAUAGACGGGCCAUUUUCCUUUUUGAUGGAUAUCUCACUCAGCUGUUAUUGUUUUAAUUUAUGUUACUCAGUUGGAUUCAGGAUUUCAUCAAACUAACUGGUAUUCCAUAACAAUAAAUGAUUAACCCGAAAGAACUACAGGUGCUAUUAACAAAUAACGGCCCAUAGCAAAUGGAGUUGUCGAUUUUAGGCAUGUUUGGUUCAUGAUUGGAAUAGUGAUUGCCUUGGAAUUGGAAAUGGAAUGACGAAUCAUCCAAAAAUAUUUGGUUCAUUAUUGGAACGGAAAUCGGAAUGAGACUCUACGAUUUUGAGAGAGGGUUUUGAUUAAGAGAGAUGAAAGAAGAGGAGGGAGGUGUUUAUGAGAGAGGAUUUUGGGUAUUUUACUUUGGAAUGAGUCAAUCCGGGGUUCAAAGUCAGAUUGGGCCAUAUAUGAAUUUGACCAUCCCCAUUCCAGAGUGGAAUAGGAAUCGAAAUUUGAUUCCUAUAAAACAAACAACAUCUAUCGGAAUUGACGAAUCACAUUCCGAUUCCAUAGUCUAAAGUAGGUGAACCAAACAUGCCCUUAACGUAAUUCCAAAUCAAGUCGUCAAAAAUAGCUCAAAUCAAGACAAGUAGAAGUAUAGUGGUUCUAUUGGAAAAGUUGAGUGAUAAACUCCAAUGGCCUUAUAUUGAGGUGGCCUCCCAACAUUUUUACCAACCACUUUUGCCAGUUAAUUUUAGGAAAAAAGGCAUCAGAAAUCUUACGCUUUGUCCCGCAACUCUAACCAGACUUCUUCAUCAGAAAGAGGAGGAGCUUUACCAAUCUCUGCUUCAAAGCGGUAUCUUGCGCUUUCAACUUUUAGAGCCUUUAUCAUCUCAAGUUUUUGUUGUCUUCUAACAUCAAGCAUCUCAGCAGCAAGGGGCACGAGCUUCACAUACCUAUUUAACAUUAUGAACUCCUUGAAACGAUCAAUCAGGAGGUUUUGUUUAGAUAUAUGCACUGUCAAUGCACUAAAUGCGCCAUGAUCAAAUGCAACAUAUAUAAAGAUAACAGAAAAAUAAAUUAAAUAGAAAAAGAACUCCUAAUUGCAUAUAGGUGCUUUUCCAUUAGAGUAUAAUUCAACGCACUGCUGUCCUUACACAUCCUUUAGUGAUUAUAAGAAGGAUUCUGUACAGUUUUUACUUAAAAUAUCUUAGUGAAUAUUAAAAGAAUAAAAUAACAUAGUUUACGAUCUAACUCUCAUCUAUUUUAGAUUGUUGAUCUCUUGGUACUUUCAGCAAUGGAUACUGCCCAGGUGUCAUCCAUUAUUUCAUAACAAUAUAGAGAAAUAUUCGCUUUUCAGUUUUCACAUGAACUGCACCUUAGCAUUCAUUUGAUGUUUGUCAGUAUGAUUGCAACGAAAUAAAAAUUUAUAAUAGAGUAAUAGACAGCAGCCAAUAAUUAGGUAGCUUAACGCUAAAUAGAAUUAUCACAAAGGACCACAUCAAAUAUUUGAGAGUCCUACAGAUUUUUUUUUUUUUCCUUUUUCUUUCCUACAGCUUAUUGUUCUCUGAAGAUAUUGAAAGCUCUAAACAUCCAGAAAAGCACAGGAGGUAUAUUGCAAAAUGAUAGCAUAAAAAAAUAUACAUCUCAUACCGAUAGACAUCAAAGGAUUACCUAUCUAAAAAAGGCAUGAGAACAUAGUCAUGAACCACAAAGUCUAGAGCCCAUGGAAUCAAGACCAGCAAAGCGAUAAAUUUUGCCUGGAAAAGAGUAUACAUCAGAAAUUAAUACCAGCCCAAAAUUGGCCAUAUGGUUCAAUCUUAACAUUUUUGGUGCAUAUGUUGAGAUCACUCUGAAGAUCCUCAAUGCACAAAAAGCCUUAUGAAGUAAGAGAAUGCUAUGAUUCACCAUGCAAAUUCGUGAGCAUCAAAUCAUUCAAUUUAAAAAUCAAUGGCCAGAAUGAAACUCAACAAAGAGCUUAAGAGCGAAUGGAGCAAUGCAACAUUAGAAUUUGCACCCAUUUGAGCACAUACUACAGAACUCAGCACUGAAGCAUUCUCUUAAACUAUAAGCCAAGCAACCAAAAAAGCAAAAAGCAUACCGAGCUUGUGACCUUAACAUACCGAGCUUGUCGAAGCAUACUUGAAAACCCUAUCCUCGAACAACAACUCGUCAUCAUUCCCGUCAAUCGUAUCCUUGAUGGAUUUAACUAAACCCUUCUCCCACAUUAUCUUACUUGGAUCAUCAAACACCUCAUUUGAAGGUUCACCCCCUUCGCCCCAAUCUGGAUCCCGGGCCCCAAUCCAAUCCUCCCACGCCCGACCAUCUUCACUCCUCGCAUCCUCCUGCGCUUCCCGCAGCUCUAUAAUCGCCUCCGCCUUCCUUCUCCAUGCUUCGAACUCCUCAUUCUCCGUAAUCCCUUCUUCCCGACUUUCCCCCGCAUCACCGCCAAGCACAUCCUCGGCGCUCCACUCGACCUGACCCUCAUAGUCCUCAUCGGAGAACAAUCUCUCCCACCAAGCCCGCUUCUUUAAAUGCCUCUUCUUCCUCCUCUUCGCGAAAGACACCAAACCGCCAAUCCGAUUUCGUUGGGAAAUAAACACAGACAUGUGGUGGGCAUGAGAUUUCCUCCGAAAUCUCUCCCUGCUGUUACAACUGCUCAUCCUGCCGAAGGUAACCAUUAGAGUGCUCAUUAAUUACCUGAAAAAGACGCCACAUUUUUCAAUCUUUCCGUGCCCUAUGAUUAGGGUCUUCGCAUUGCCCUAGCACGCAAUCCACGGCAAAUUCCUCGUCGAGGGAGUAGGACGCAGCCGCGACCUUAAUCGCAUCAAAAGGAAUCGAGAAAUUAGGGUUUGAAGAUGAGGGAGAAGGACAAGGCGAACUAGGGUUUUAGCUCUCCAUGAUGGAGAGGGCGCGAGAGAUAGAGAGAGAGAGAGCGGGAGAGGAGGGAGAGGAGGCGAGAGUGGAUAAUGUACGAACGUAACGGCUCGGAAACUCCACGCAGGUUCGCAACCACGCGUGUUUCCUCGCGGCGUAGUUGAAUGACGUGGCGUUUCCAGGGGUGGGCAUCGGCCAUGCCUUUAAUGGGCCGGGUCGGGUUUUUACCCGGCCCAUUUUAGAUAGUUUUGUGGGCUCUAUAGGCCGGACCCGAAAAGCUUCUACUGCUUCGCGCCCGAAUUCGUAGUGGGUUGGGCUUCUGGGCACAGGACAUUGCUUAGUUUGGGGCUUGCAUGGAAUGGAUUUAAUAUUGCAUCCACCGGGUGUAUAACUACUACACAUACACCGCACCAGUGAUGCAAACGGGGCGGAUCCAUGGGUGCGAGGGGUUUCUGAUCUCACGCCCUAUUUUCUGGGCAGAUCGAGAUGGAUCUGGAGUUGAUAUUUAUCUUAUUUGUUGCCUCCGCUUACCACUCCAUUCAGAACAGGAUUGGAUAUCACCAGAUUUUUCAUUGAUUUUUGAUAAAUCAGGACGUAUUAAGAAAAAGAAGAGGGCUCAUAUGAGUGGUGUUUUUUUUGUUAACUUAUAUUUGACCCUUAUUUAUCGUGUCAUUCAGACGGAUCACAUAAAGCUCUAUCAAUCCAGAUCCAAUUGCAUCCCUACAUCGCAUUAUUACGGACCCGUUUGAUAUUUAGAGUUUCUAUUAGUUAAAAAAAAAAAAAGUUGGCAUGAAAAAUAUAAAAACAUAAUUCUCUAUUUUCUUAUUGGAACUCAAAAAUUAUAUCUUUGCAACUCAUUGCAAUAUAUAAAAUAUGAUAUUUUUUAGAAUAGUAACUACUUUUCUAUUGUACGCAACACAAAUUGCCCACAAACACUAAAUAAAGCCUGAAUCUCCAUAAUAGAGGAAUCAAAAUCAAAAUCAAAAUUUAAAAUCAAAUUGAUAUUUGGCCUAUAUUUAUUAAAAAUUAUACAUUUUGUAUUCAAUUUUUUUUUUUACAAAUCAAACAGAUAGCCUUUUCUCUACAUUUAAUUUUUUUAGGCAGCUUCGAUGCCUAAGUAAUAGCUUUUCAAUAUGCAUAAUAUUUUAUAUAUAGCCUCAGACGAGAAUUUGAUUUUUAAAUAUUACUCAUCAAAUAUAAAGAACGGUGUAUAAAGUGUACGUAUACACUCGGCGCAGGUAACUAUUUCCCCGCUGCAAGAGAGGUGCGUGCCGAGUCACUGCAGUUCCCACGUGUCGGCGUGCAUCAGCACUCACGUGCCACUACUUCCGCACGUGUCCGUGCGCUUUUCUUAUGGCCUUCAUUAUUAAUAAAAUUUUAACUUUUGAAGUUGGUAAUUUGAAAAUAAAUUAAAAUUUUAAUAUUCAAAAUUGAAAAUUUUAUAAUAUAAAAUUUUAAAAUUAUAUUAUACUAUAUAAUAUAUAUAUAUGAUAUAUAGUAGUAUAUAAUAUAUAUAAUAAAAUUGAGCUAGAAUACUUUUUAAAAGUAUACCAAUCGAUGAUGCUAUUAGUUUUUCGUCAUUGGAUCUAUUCCUUGAUUACUAUAGCCCUUGGAUCAAAACACAUCACUAGUACCACCUACACUACCUACCACAUCAUCACAACCUUUACAUUCCUCUCCCAUCAAUGGUUAAAAAACUCAACAAGCACCACUCCAUGGUGCUUUGAAUGCUAUUCUUGCUCAACUCCUCUCCUCUCUCCUGGAUCUCCUUCCGUCUGCUCUCUCUCUCUCUAAUAUAUAUAUAUAUGUGCCGGGAUCUAUAUACUCUUAAGAGAUAACCCCCUUAUACUCAUCAAAUUUUAAACACCGUUGAUUGAUGGCGGAUGUGUCUAGAGAUGAUGGUGUCUCCACAUUAAAUACAUAGUGUCUUCCCUAGGGUUGAGUGGUAGUUGUUUGAAUAGUAUGAUUCUAACGGAGUGAAUAGAUCAAUGAAAUAAAUCUAGGGCCAAAACUUAUGAUUAUAAGGGAGCAAUAUCAUAAACGUAUAGAGUUCCGACUUCAUAUAUUAUAUAAUAUAUAUAUAUAUAUAAUUAUAGUAUAUAUAUAUAUAUAUAAUAUACUAGGUCGACUACUAUUACUAUUAUAGUGCGAUCCGCCUCGUAGAUCAUAAGUUGUUUUCGAUGAUAGAGCUUUCCGUAUCAACGAUCCACACCGUUAAACGUUAUUUACAGCAUUUAAAACUUCUAGAAAUUAAAUUUUAUAAUUUUUCGACAUCAUUUACUUUACGAUCAAGAGGUCCCAAAUUUGACAAUUUUUAACGGCCGUUAUGGGAUACUUGCUAGUUUAACGGUGUAAAAGAAUCGAAAUUUGUUGAAUUUUUGAUAGAAAAUUCUAUUCACUACAUAGAUAAAGAUCAAUAACUCCGAUCUUGAAUUGAAGGAUCCGAUCAUCCUUUUUUAAGACGUCGUUCGAUUUUGACCGUUCAUUUUAUGCCCACUUGAUGGACUUUAUUAUGAUUUCGAAAAUUUACGAAAAUUUAUGAAUUUUAUUUUAUAGAAGUUUCAAAUACUCUAGAUCAUAUUUAACGGAGUGGAUCGUCGAUUCCGAAGCUCCAUCAUUGAAAACAACUUAUGAGUACGAACGCUCCAAUACUCAUAAUAGUAUAGUAGCCAUAGCCUAUAUAUAUAUAUAGGUAGGGAGAGGGAGGAAGGGGCGUUGGAAUACGUGUUAUUCUCUAAACUCUGAAAAAAGAAUAGAUAAAAAUAGACCAGAUGCACCUAAGAUUUUUCUAUAAAUUAUACAUAUGUCUACAAUCAACGGCACCAAAUAUACCGAGUAGUUGAGC